rnacentral:rRNA from 1 species
AGUGAACGCUGGCGGUAGGCCUAACACAUGCAAGUCGAACGGCAGCACAGUAAGAGCUUGUUCUUACGGGUGGCGAGUGGCGGACGGGUGAGGAAUACAUCGGAAUCUACUUUUUCGUGGGGGAUAACGUAGGGAAACUUACGCUAAUACCGCAUACGACCUACGGGUUAAAGCAGGGGAUCUUCGGACCUUGCGCGAAUGAAUUAGCCGAUGUCGGAUUAGCUAGUUGGCGGGGUAAUGGCCCACCAAGGCGACGAUCCGUAGCUGGUCUGAGAGGAUGAUCGGCGACACUGGAACUGGGACACGGUCCAGACUCCUACGGGAGGCAGCAGUGGGGAAUAUUGGACAAUGGGCGCAAGCCUGAUCCAGCCAGACCGCGUGGGUGAAGAAGGCCUUCGGGUUGUAAAGCCCUUUUGUUGGGAAAGAAAAGCAGCAGGUUAAUACGCCGCUGUUCUGACGGUACCCAAAGAAUAAGCACCGGCUAACUUCGUG